CAGAGCAUAACUAAAACCAGUAUAGUAUCUCUUUUACACUGAGAAGUCACUCGUGCAAACCGAGUUGCCCUGA
rnacentral:tRNA from 1 species